CGGGUGAGUAACACGUGGAUAACCUACCUAUAAGACUGGGAUAACUUCGGGAAACCGGAGCUAAUACCGGAUAAUAUAUUGAACCGCAUGGUUCAAUGGUGAAAGACGGUUUUGCUGUCACUUAUAGAUGGAUCCGCGCCGCAUUAGCUAGUUGGUAAGGUAACGGCUUACCAAGGCAACGAUGCGUAGCCGACCUGAGAGGGUGAUCGGCCACACUGGAACUGAGACACGGUCCAGACUCCUACGAGAGGCAGCAGCC
rnacentral:rRNA from 1 species